ACUGACACAAAUUUUAUUUUUCAUGCUAAAAUUUUUACAAAUUUUAUUUGGUCAUAGACAAUUAUAAGAGUAACAGUUAUAACUGAAUUAAAAAAAUAACAUUUUGGAGUAUUUAGGUCCAUUUACUACUAUCACAUAAACAGCAAUCAAUUGUUAUAAUUACAGAAAUGCUGAGUUAGUAUAUUUAACAAAUGUGCCAUGAUAGUGAUCAGUGUAUAAAGAGUGUCAAAUGUAUUUUUACAUAUGUACUCCAUAAUUAGAGUUGAGGUUUAGAAUAUAGUAAUAUCGUCAUUCAAAUAUCUGACCAACUAAAUGCUAUAAUCAGCAA